rnacentral:lncRNA from 1 species
GGCUUUACUCGCGAUUUUCAUCUCAUCCACCAUUCUUUUUGCUCUGAUUUGGCCAUGGGAGUGUUCAAAAUUAAAUUCUGAGCGAAUAGAAGAAUUGCUUAUCUUUUUUUGACGGUCAGAGAUGGCUCCGGCGCAUCGGUGGGCGACAAUCAGCUCCCUUCUCCAGCAGGGGGCUGGCCGGUUUAGGUUCGAUAUGAAGUGAGAUAUUUAUACCCAUCUCCAUUAAAUCUAGACUGCCAAUCGAGUUUGAUCUCAACCGUCCGAUCGUGUUUAAAGAGGAAAUAAAUUUGGACCGUUCAUCACGAUUUGAUCUCGACCGUACGAUCGCAUUUAAAAAGAAAAUAAAUCUAGAUUGUUCAUCACAUUUAAUCUCGACCGUGCGAUCGUGCCUGAGGAGGGAACGGAUCCAGACCGUCCACGCGCACAAGAACACAUCCGAGCCAUCCUAUCGCGGAUACGUGGAUUGCCAGCGUGGUCUUCCGCGUGGCACCGAGUUAGCGUGCCUUGCCACACAGCGCGCUCCGGUUCGUCGAGGCUGCUGACUAGGCAGUCCUAUGUGGCGCACUUUUUUUAAUUGCGUUUUGACCCACCGUUUCUUAUUUUUCUUUCAAAAAUACCUCCUG